UUUGUGGAGGAGCAACAUAAUGUUGCAGAUGUGCCCCAGCUGUGGAGUUACUUUGGAAACCAAGGGACAACCAACUUCUCUCUGAGGCUGGCCUGUAUCCGUCAUGCUAUGGAGGCUCUGACAUCCUCAGACAGUACCUCCCUUAAUUACCUCACCCACGCUGGGAGGAUGGUGUUGAGUGGACUGUCCAAGCUCAACCAGCAGGAUGUGAGGCAGUUUCAGCAGGCCUAUGACAUCCUGGUGAACUUCAUUAAUGAGCCAGCAAACAGGGAGCGACUAGAGCUGGAGAUGGCUCUUGUAGGAAUCAACCACAUCAACUUCACGGAUGUAUUUUAUGAAUUCGUUCUACUAAGCCUUCUAGAAGGAAAAACAUCUCUUCCAACAUCUAGGCCUGGUACCUUCUUUUAUCUGCUCAUGGAAGUGAUCAUGAGGAUUCGCCCUCCUGGAGGAGCCUGGACAGAGUCUGCUGGGAACUUCUACCUCCUCAUUAAGGAUCAGAUGAAGGCGUGGUUGGACUCCAUCUUCAACCUUGAUGAGUCCAUCUAUGAAAGCCCACAGAGGCUCUCGUGGCAGGUGAUGGUGAAUCUAGAAAUGCAGGUUGACUUCCUCCUGUCCAGCCUGGAUUAAGGGUCCCAAACUGAGCUGAGGAUCCCAAACAUAAAAUAAA
rnacentral:lncRNA from 1 species